AUUGAACGCUGGCGGCAGGCCUAACACAUGCAAGUCGAACGAGUGGCGGACGGGUGAGUCAUGUAUGGGAAACUGCUUGAUGGCUGGGGAUAACUACUGGAAACGGUAGCUAAUACCGCAUAACAUCAGCUGUGCCCUGAUGGGUUUAGCUGUUUGGUGGGGUAACGGCUCACCAAGGCGACGAUCCCUAGCUGGUCUGAGAGGAUGACCAGCCACACUGGAAAUGAGACACGGUCCAGACUCCUACGGGAGGCAGCAGUGGGGAAUAUUGCACAAUGGGCGCAAGCCUGAUGCAGCAACGCCGCGUGUGUGAAGAAGGCCUUCGGGUUGUAAAGUACUUGCAGCGGGGAGGCGUUACCCGCAGAAGAAGCACCGGCUAACGCCGUGCCAGCAGCCGCGGUAAUAC
rnacentral:rRNA from 1 species